rnacentral:rRNA from 1 species
UACGUAGGGCGCGAGCGUUGGCCGGAUUUAUUGGGCGUAAAGAGCUCGUAGGCGGCUCGUCGCGUCGAUCGUGAAAACCCGCGGCUUAACUGCGGGCUUGCGGUUGAUACGGGCGGGCUAGAGUUCGGUAGGGGAGACUGGAAUUCAUGGUGUAGCGGUGAAAUGCGCAGAUAUCAGGAGGAACACCAGCGGCGAAGGCGGCGCUCUGGGCCGGUACUGACGCUGAGGAGCGAAAGCGUGGGGAGCAAACAGG